CGUGCUAAUCUGCGAUAAGCGCCGGUAAGGUGAUAUGAACCGUUAUAACCGGCGAUACCCGAAUGGGGAAACCCAGUGUGACUCGUCACACUAUCAUUAACUGAAUCCAUAGGUUAAUGAGGCGAACCGGGGGAACUGAAACAUCUAAGUACCCCGAGGAAAAGAAAUCAACCGAGAUUCCCCCAGUAGCGGCGAGCGAACGGGGAGGAGCCCAGAGCCUGAAUCAGCAUGUGUGUUAGUGGAAGCGUCUGGAAAGGCGCGCGAUACAGGGUGACAGCCCCGUACAC
rnacentral:rRNA from 1 species